AGUGCGGUAGUGUGGUUAACACGCUUGCCUUGCACCUCUGUGGUUGGGGGUUCGAAUCCCACCUCUACCC